GAAAUCGGAUGAUCUCCAGGUUGAGCCCAACCAGAUCUACGUGAACAUGCCUCACAUUGUUAAACUCCUUCCUGAUGGCUGACCAGACAAUGACCAUGAGCUUCAAUACUGCACCAAGCCUGAACAGCAAUUCUC